rnacentral:rRNA from 1 species
GCAUAUCAAUAAAGCGGAAGAACCCUUUCUUUUUUC